UUUCUCUGAAUGUUAUAGGGGGCAGACAAUUUUAUGAGUUUACACUGUAUAAGCUUUAUACAGAGUAAAACAGAUUUAUUUGGGGAUGUGAUUGUGAGCAGGG